rnacentral:miRNA from 1 species
AGGUUGGUGCAAAAGUAAUCACAGUUUUUGCCAUACUUUCAAUGGCAAAAAGCCACAAUUACAUUUGCACCAACCUAAUA